AUUGAACGCUGGCGGCAUGCCUUACACAUGCAAGUCGAACGGCAGCACGGGAGCAAUCCUGGUGGCGAGUGGCGAACGGGUGAGUAAUACAUCGGAACGUGCCCAAUCGUGGGGGAUAACGCAGCGAAAGCUGUGCUAAUACCGCAUACGAUCUACGGAUGAAAGCAGGGGAUCGCAAGACCUUGCGCGAAUGGAGCGGCCGAUGGCAGAUUAGGUAGUUGGUGAGGUAAAGGCUCACCAAGCCGUCGAUCUGUAGCUGGUGUGACAGGGAUGACCUGCUUCCA
rnacentral:rRNA from 1 species